AGAGAGUGGAGUUGGUGUCCGUUCGGGAACUCUGACACGAGGUGCUGCAGUGGCUGUCGUCAGCUCGUGUCGUGAGAUGGUUGGUAAGUCCCGUAACGAGCGCAACCCUUGUCCUUAGUUACCAGCACGUUAUGGUGGGCACUCUAAGGAGACUGCCGGUGACAAACCGGAGGAAGGUGGGGAUGACGUCAAGUCAUCAUGGCCCUUACGGCCUGGGCUACACACGUGCUACAAUGGUCGGUACAAAGGGUUGCCAAGCCGCGAGGUGGAGCUAAUCCCAUAAAACCGAUCGUAGUCCGGAUCGCAGUCUGCAACUCGACUGCGUGAAGUCGGAAUCGCUAGUAAUCGUGAAUCAGAAUGUCACGGUGAAUACGUUCCCGGGCCUU
rnacentral:rRNA from 1 species